rnacentral:rRNA from 1 species
AGCGAACGCUGGCGGCAGGCCUAACACAUGCAAGUCGAACGAACUCUUCGGAGUUAGUGGCGGACGGGUGAGUAACACGUGGGAACGUGCCUUUAGGUUCGGAAUAACUCAGGGAAACUUGUGCUAAUACCGAAUGUGCCCUUCGGGGGAAAGAUUUAUCGCCUUUAGAGCGGCCCGCGUCUGAUUAGCUAGUUGGUGAGGUAAAGGCUCACCCAGGCGACGAUCAGUAGCUGGUCUGAGAGGAUGAUCAGCCACAUUGGGACUGAGACACGGCCCAAACUCCUACGGGAGGCAGCAGUGGGGAAUCUUGCGCAAUGGGCGAAAGCCUGACGCAGCCAUGCCGCGUGAAUGAUGAAGGUCUUAGGAUUGUAAAAUUCUUUCACCGGGGACGAUAAUGACGGUACCCGGAGAAGAAGCCCCGGCUAACUUCGUG